AAUUGAGGUGAUAAUUUUAUAUAUAAAAGGGGACCAGCUAGCUUUAGCAAUAUUAGUUCUCACUUGUGCAUUUAAACCUGUUCGGUUAGUUAUUUUUGAUACUUGAAUAUCAACCUAAACGUAUUUCGAAAUCAUGAAGCCGAUCGUUGCUCUUUUCUUCGUUCUUGCGGCUCUCUGUGUCGCUGUCAAUUUCGUAGAAUGUACCAUCUGCGCCGUGGAUAAUCGUUCUGGUAAUCCCCAAAACUUUGCUAGCAUUUCUGCGAUGCAGAGGGAAAACCAAAAAGGCGGAGAUUAUUCUUUCGUGCACAAUGGAGCUUGCUAGAGGUGGUUAAGAACACUCCACUAGGCUGCCAUGUUGCGCCAAUCAACAAGUGAAAAAAAAAAUAGAUUAGAAAACUGAAACCAUGAAUAGAAACUUUGCACCAUGUAAAACUAAAAUAAUAAUGCACUUAAUCCUUCAA